rnacentral:lncRNA from 1 species
GGUAGAUGAUCACCGCAAACUGAAGUUCGUGGUUUAGGAUGAAGGUUCGCUUGAAGCCGUUCAAGUGCCCGGCCUCUACGGGUAUCCACACGAAGCAGAGGACCGAUCCAAUCGCUCUAAUCUUCCCGGAGUGCUAGCUCCCUUGUAGAGAUUGGUUUUGAUGGCUGAUCACCUCCCUUUCUUUCAACUCUUGAAUGCUAGAGGGAGGAGGAAGAAGAUGAAAGGAUCAAGGAAGAAGAUCCAAAAAGCUAGAUGCAGCCUUUCCUUUCCUUGCGUUGAAUCCCAAACGGAGGAGGAAGAAGGAGACCACCAUGGAUCUUUUUCUUUCUUGCUUGCGGCUGAUCCAAGAGGAGAAGAGAAAGGGGGCGUACGGCCACAAGGGGAGAGCUUCUCAUAUGAAUUAGGUCAGCCCCCAAGCCUCCUCUUAAAUAGCAUCUAGGGCUCCUAUUUGGUUUAGUCCAAAUCAUGAAUCAAUUGGAUUCAAUCUAUGCUAGUCCUAAUCCAAUUAGAACUUGAAUGAACCAUGACUCAAUUGAACUCUUCAAUCCUAAUCUAAUUAGG